rnacentral:rRNA from 1 species
GGAAUAUUGGUCAAUGGGCGAGAGCCUGAACCAGCCAUGCCGCGUGCAGGAAGACGGCCUAUUGGGUUGUAAACUGCUUUUAUACGGGAAGAAAAUGCCCCUGCGGGGGAAAUUGCCGGUACCGUAUGAAUAAGCACCGGCUAACUCCGUGCCAGCAGCCGCGGUAAUACGGAGGGUGCGAGCGUUGUCCGGAUUUAUUGGGUUUAAAGGGUGCGUAGGCGGCCUGUUAAGUCAGCGGUGAAAGUUUCCGGCUCAACCGGGAGACUGCCGUUGAUACUGUCAGGCUUGAGUAAUGGAGGGGUACAUGGAAUUUAUGGUGUAGCGGUGAAAUGCAUAGAUACCAUAAGGAACACCGAUAGCGAAGGCAUUGUACCGGCCGUUCACUGACGCUGAGGCACGAAAGCGUGGGUAGCGAACAGG